rnacentral:rRNA from 1 species
GACGAACGCUGGCGGCGUGCUUAACACAUGCAAGUCGAACGGAAAGGCCCUGCUUGCCGGGUGCUCGAGUGGCGAACGGGUGAGUAACACGUGUGUGAACCGCCCCUUACUUUGUGAUAAGCCUUGGAAACAGGGUCUAUUAUUGGGUAGGACCAUUCCUUAUGUGGUGUGGUGGUUAGAUUGUUUUCGGUGGGGGAUGAGCUCGCGGCCGAUCAGCGCUUUGGUGGGGGGUUGGCCUACCACGGCGUCUACGGGUAGCCGGCCCGAGGGGGUGGACGGCGACAUUGGGGCUGAGAUACGGCCCAGAAUACUACGGGAGGCGGCAGUGGGGGAGAUUGCACAAUAGGCGCAAGACGGCUGAAGCGACGCCGCGGGGGGGGUGAUGGCCGUCGGGUUGUAGACUCCUUCCAGCCAUGACGAAGACGUUGUGGUGACGGUAGUGGUAGAAGAAGCACCGGCUAACUACGUG